rnacentral:hammerhead_ribozyme from 1 species
GUCCAGCUGAAGAGUCACAAAUAGAACGAAACGCGAGUCCUGGUU